rnacentral:sRNA from 1 species
GAGGAAAUUGAGGAGGAAUCGCUUGAGAUCCACCCGUUUUUCGCCUUAAAUGAUGAUGACAUGUUUAUACAAGCUCUACCAUUGUUUCUGC